rnacentral:tRNA from 1 species
GUGGAUGUAGCUCAGUGGCAGAGCUCUAGCCUAGUAUGCACGAGGCCCUGGGUUUAACCCCCAGUAUCACA